AACUGUCUCUUACGGACUAGCCAAUGAAAUUGAUCCUUCAGUACAAAAGCUGGAAUUAGCCCAUAAGACGAGAAGACCCUGUGGAGCUUCAAAACCAAAAUCACCAAACAUGCUUCAUGGGUUUUUAGUUGGGGCGACUUUGGAGCAAAAAAAACCCUCCAAACAUAAAUCUAUUUAUUAAGACUAACACACCAAAAAAAUAUUAUAGACCCAGCAGUAUCUAUUUACUGUCUGACCAAUGAACCAAGUUACCCCAGGGAUAACAGCGCCAUCCUCUUCUAGAGUCCUUAUCGACAAGAGGGUUUACGACCUCGAUGUUGGAUCAGGACACCC
rnacentral:rRNA from 1 species